rnacentral:rRNA from 1 species
GACGGAGGAUGCAAGCGUUAUCCGGAAUGAUUGGGCGUAAAGCGUCCGCAGGUGGCAGUUCAAGUCUGCUGUCAAAGACCGGGGCUUAACUUCGGAAAGGCAGUGGAAACUGAACAGCUAGAGUAUGGUAGGGGCAGAGGGAAUUCCUGGUGUAGCGGUGAAAUGCGUAGAUAUCAGGAGGAACACCGGUGGCGAAGGCGGCUCGCUGGGCCGAUGCUGACGCUGAGGCGCGAAAGCGUGGGGAGCAAACAGG